CGGCUGGGGAUGAGGACUGAGGGGCUGAGCGCUGGAGGCGGGGCCUCAGCUUGUCGCGCUCCCUGCACCUGCCGACAGUCCCUCCCGCUGGUUUCGGGCGCAGUUUCUCGAUUCACCGUUAGGGGGAGGGGCGCCCAGACCGCUUGAUAAUAAUAAUGAACAGAAACGUGAAUUCGGUGCCAGGCCUUUCAAUCACCUGUCGCAUCGUCCUCGCCCAAACCCUGUCAGGUCGGUGGGAUUGGCUUUCCCACUUCACAGAUGAGGAAACAGGUGGUUAAGCUGCUCUCCCCAGGCCACACGCCCAGGAAGGGACAAAGCGGAGAUUUAAGGAGACAUGGGAUUCUGACCCACGAUGCCAUACCCUAGAAGGGGCUGAUAUUCCUUAACUGUCACUCUGGAGUACCCAGGAGGGAGACGUCUUAGUAUCACUGUCUUCUAUGCAAAGGCACAGCUGCGAAGAAGGCACGUUUGGUUCCCACUCACCUUCUGCCCAGACAGGUGUGCUCCAACAGGUGCGUCCCAGAUAAACGAGCCUCGUCCCCUCCCUCACGGAUGUUUUCAUUCACAGGCGCUCCUUCCAGGUGCCCUACAACAUGGAGGAUACAGAUGUUUUCCCAAGGAGAUGCCCCAAACAGGUGUUUCACAAGUGCAUCCUCGACAGGUGGGCCUCUGUACAGAUGUUCCUCAGACGAGGCUGUUUCCUUCACCUCUCGGGGAUGUUUCUCAACAGGAAUGCAUGAUACGGCCCCCCCACAGCCCUGUACAUAGUUGUGUAUCCUCGUUGUAAGUGUCCCGAGUUCCUCUACGUGGGACGCCGCCACAGCAUGGCUUGAGUCGUGUGUAAGUCUGCGCCCAGGAUCUGAACCGGCGAACCCCCAGCCGCUGAAGCGGAGCGCGCGAACUUAACCAGUGUCACCCGGCCGGCCCCAGGUGUUAUAACGCAGGUGUGUACCACCCGGGUGUUUUUUCAUCAGAGGCUCCCCAUCCGAGUCUGCCUCAGACAGGAGUGCCUCAUACCCCGAUGUCUCCGUGCCCAGGGUGUCUCCGCACCUGUGCGAUCUUGCAGACGCGCCCGCCAUCCAGGCAGGAGGUCCCUCUGAAACCUGCGCGCUCCCGCCCCUUUUGACUCCUCCCCCUUAUAGGAUUGGAUUCCUGUUA
rnacentral:lncRNA from 1 species